rnacentral:rRNA from 1 species
UGCAGGAAGACGGCCUUCUGGGUUGUAAACUGCUUUUGUCAGGGAAUAAAACGCCCAUGCGUGGGAGAUUGAAGGUACCUGACGAAUAAGCCACGGCUAACUACGUGCCAGCAGCCGCGGUAAUACGUAGGUGGCGAGCGUUGUCCGGAUUUAUUGGGUUUAAAGGGUGCGUAGGCGGCCUUGUAAGUCAGUUCUGAAAUAUCCCGGCUUAACCGGGAGGGUGGGAUUGAUACUGCUUGGCUUGAGUGGAGUCGAGGUAGGCGGAAUUGACGGUGUAGCGGUGAAAUGCUUAGAUAUCGUCAAGAACACCGAUAGCGUAGGCAGCUUACUAGACUCUAACUGACGCUGAGGCACGAAAGUGUGGGGAUCAAACAGGAUUAGAUACCCUGGUAGUCCACACUGUAAACGU